rnacentral:rRNA from 1 species
CGGGUGAGUAAUGCGUGACCAACCUGCCCCAUGCUCCAGAAUAGCUCUUGGAAACGGGUGGUAAUGCUGGAUGCUCCAACUUGACGCAUGUCUUGUUGGGAAAGUGUUUAGUGGCAUGGGAUGGGGUCGCGUCCUAUCAGCUUGUAGGCGGGGUAAUGGCCCACCUAGGCUUCGACGGGUAGCCGGCCUGAGAGGGCGGACGGCCACAUUGGGACUGAGAUACGGCCCAGACUCCUACGGGAGGCAGCAGNG